UCCGUUGUUUCGACACAACUUCCAAGAUAAAAACUUGGUUUAAACUAUGGCACAUGCAAUUGGUAACAAUUAUGAUGCACGUGUGUUCUCUGCAGUCUUAUAUAUAUACAAAAGGAUUGUAUAUGAACAGUACGUUUAUGACGUACAUGCAUGCAUGGAAUAAUACAUGUUGAGCCCUUUUACGCAUGGACGAAUAAUUUAACAUCAUAACCUAGUUCAGCCACGUAAGCCAGAUGAGUCAGUAUACUCACUAUUUUCAUAAUUAAAAUAAGUGUUUAGUUGUGUAAAUUAUGUUGUGUUAUCUCUUUUCACAACUGCAUGAUUGACAUUGUUAUUGUC